GUGAACGCUGGCGGUAGGCCUAACACAUGCAAGUCGAACAGCAGCACAGUAAGAGCUUGCUCUUACGGGUGGCGAGUGGCGGACGGGUGAGGAAUACAUCGGAAUCUACUUUUUCGUGGGGGAUAACGUAGGGAAACUUACGCUAAUACCGCAUACGACCUACGGGUGAAAGCAGGGGAUCUUCGGACCUUGCGCGAUUGAAUGAGCCGAUGUCGGAUUAGCUAGUUGGCGGGGUAAAGGCCCACCAAGGCGACGAUCCGUAGCUGGUCUGAGAGGAUGAUCAGCCACACUGGAACUGAGACACGGUCCAGACUCCUAAGGGAGGCAGCAGUGGGGAAUAUUGGACAAUGGGCGCAAGCCUGAUCCAGCCAUACCGCGUGGGUGAAGAAGGCCUUCGGGUUGUAAAGCCCUUUUGUUGGGAAAGAAAAGCAGCAGGUUAAUACCCCGCUGUUCUGACGGUACCCAAAGAAUAAGCACCGGCUAACUUCGUG
rnacentral:rRNA from 1 species